AGCGCUCCAUACAAUCCAACCUGCUAAAAUUGUGCAAAAUGGAGGUAACUUGGAGGAGGCAUCCACACCGAACCCUUUUGCCCGACGAAGCAGUGCAGCUGGACCUAAGAAGGCAGAAUUAGAACAACCAAAAGAUGUGAAGGAUAACACUCCAAAGGUUUCACCUGUGGUUACCCCUUUAGCUAAGAUACCCAAGAAAAAUGAUAACUCAGAAGGGAAAGCAAAAAGGGAGAGGGAUGGAGCAGCUGAACAGAUUUUGAAAGGAGGCAUUGAUCAGGCUGGUGCUAAAAAUAAGGGCAGUGAAGACAGCAACCGAGGAGAGCCUCAGCGGCCACUUAACCCCUUUGCAAAAUCUUCAUCCAACAAAGAACAGUCAUCGUCCCUUUUGGAUUCCAUAAAAAAGAUGAAGGUUGAAAGCGAGAAAGUCGAUAAAACCAACAGCAAGAAGGUGAAAGUAUAAUUGAUUUUCUUGCCAUAUGGACCUGGAGGAUGGAAACUGGCAGUCAGUCACCUUUAACUAACAUCCGAAGUGCUUUUCCUUUCCACUUAAAUUCUGGUAGUGUAGUUGGACCAACAUAUAAUUUGACAGCUCCUCAGUUUACUUUGUAGUCUGGAUGUACUUUUCGGACAAUAAACUUUGUAGCUUGGAUGUUCUAUGCAUAUCAUCUUUUACAAUAUUCCCCACCUGUCAAGGUAGCACGUUCUGCAUUUGUGUUUAAGCGCACAAAUUGCUUAUGUGAUGGCCUUCUUCAAUGAUACACCCUUACAAAAUACGGACUGUAUUGGUGCAGAUCGGCCCUGAACUGGUUUGUUAGAUAUGUGGUAAACCCAAUUGUUUUAAGUAGCACUAACUAAUCAGCCGUAAAUACUCAAGGAAAUUGAUUUGGCACAUAUCAAUUCUACUCCAUAUGUAGUUUGUUUAACCCUCUAAACUCAUGUUUGUCCUUUAGUUUCUUUCUAAAAUGGAGUCAAAAGAUUUGUCUCGCCUCGUUAAUAAAGUAGAAUUGCCUGCUUAAUUAGUGGAAAAACGGUGAAUAAGUCAACGGGCAAACACAGGGCAACAUAGGCCGACUUGCUACCCACAUGAAGUCAUGAAGACACAUGCCCAUCCAGAAGUCUUGUUUACCCACUUGGAGUGAUGAAGACACGCCGUCCAGAAGAAAAAUAUCGUCGGGGUUGUCAUCAAGCGUCAUCACCCCACCAGCCAACGACUCCCGUAACCAUUGAUGACGACUAGCAAAGCCCCUGUUGCAAUAGCCAUCAGAAUCCAUGCCUGCUUUGCCAAAUAGUCGGCCACCCGCACAGGCGACUAGACAACUCUAACUCAUGUGACGAACCUCGCAAGAGACAAGCGUUGAGAUUGUGCCGACUAGGCCCUGCAACCGAACACCCACAUGUCACCGUUGGCACCUCCUCGAGAGCUUCGACCCCGCAAAGACAGUGUGGGGGCACAAGGGUCCCCUCGAACAAGUAGGAUGACAUCGACCACCAAAACUCAGCCACAAACCAACUUCACUCGAAGUCACCAUCAUUGCAGAACAAGAAGCUACACCACUUUGUUCAAGGGUCACAGCCUCAACAUCCCCACAACAAGCAGUGAUGGAACCUGCAAACCAGGGCGACGCCUUCGAGAAGGAACGUGGUGCAAGAUGUGUCACCACCGCCAGUUCUAGGAAGAUGUGAAGCAGUGGCGGAGCCAGGAUUUGCCGACGCCCCAGGCGAGAAACCAAAGGCUAAAAACUACCCCAAAAAAAACUCCAGUUUGAAGGCAUACUAAUACUAUAGAUGUCCUGUUCCAAAAAGAAUUCAAUGUCCUGUUCCAAAAAGAAUUCAAUGUCCUGUAACAUUAUAUAGAAACAAUUUACUAAAUGUCAAAUUUAGUUUCCAAAUCUAAUAAGAAUCUAACAAACAGUGGCAUCAAGCAACAACGGUGUCAUCUAGCAACCGACAAAAUUCAUCAUCAAAUAGUAGCAUCUGCAAACAAAAAUUGGGGUUUGGAAAUUGGAUAAGCUACGAUACCUUUGCUCUUUCCGGCUUGCUGUAGUCUGCUGAGGAAAGAGGCGCCUCCUGAGAAGGGCCACCUCGCCGGCAGUUCGCCGGGGUUGCUGCCUCGCCGGACAGGGCAGCAGCCCACAACGGAGGUGAUUGAAGAGGAUUGAAGGGAGGCGGGCAUGCAGCUGGAUAGGCAGCAGAGUAGCAGAAGGGGACUGGGGGGCGGGCUGGAUAGGCAGCACGAGGACGGCGGGCGGCGCCGGCGGGCGGCGCCGGCGGGCAGGGACGUGGCCACCGACCACGCCUAGGGUUCGUCAAGUUGGGGGAAGGGCGUCGGACAGGUUCGG
rnacentral:lncRNA from 1 species